CCUACGGGCGGCAGCAGUGAGGAAUAUUGGUCAAUGGACGCAAGCCUGAACCAGCCAAGCCGCGUGCGGGAAGAAGGCUCUAUGAGUUGUAAACCGCUUUUGUACGAGGGUAAACGCAGGUACGCGUACCUGUCUGAAAGUAUCGUACGAAUAAGGAUCGGCUAACUCCGUGCCAGCAGCCGCGGUAAUACGGAGGAUUCAAGCGUUAUCCGGAUUUAUUGGGUUUAAAGGGUGCGUAGGCGGUCGGAUAAGUUAGAGGUGAAAUCCCGAGGCUCAACUCCGGAAUUGCCUCUGAUACUGGUCGGCUAGAGAUUAGUUGUGGUAGGCGGAAUGUAUGGUGUAGCGGUGAAAUGCUUAGAGAUCAUACAGAACCCCGAUUGCGAAGGCAGCUUACCAAGCUACUUCUGACGUUGAGGCACGAAAGCGUGGGGAGCAAACAGGAUUAGAUACCCUUGUAGUC
rnacentral:rRNA from 1 species